GCGCAGCAGGCGCGAAUUUUUCUCAAUGGGGGCAACCCUGAAGGAGCGACGCCGCGUGGAGGAUGAAGGCUUUCGGGUUGUAAACUCCUGUCAUUUGAGAACAAGUGGCCGAACCUAACUACUUCGGCCUUGAUAGUAUCAGAAGAGGAAGGGACGGCUAACUCUGUGCCAGCCAGCCGCGGUAAUACAGAGGUCCCAAGCGUUGUUCGGAUUCAUUGGGCGUAAAGGGUGCGUAGGUGGCGCCGU
rnacentral:rRNA from 1 species